GACGAACGCUGGCGGCGUGCUUAACACAUGCAAGUCGAACGGAAAGGCCCUGCUUUUGUGGGGUGCUCGAGUGGCGAACGUGUGAGUAACACGUGAGUAACCUGCCCUUGACUUUGGGAUAACUUCAGGAAACUGGGGCUAAUACCGGAUAGGAGCUCCUGCUGCAUGGUGGGGGUUGGAAAGUUUCGGCGGUUGGGGAUGGACUCGCGGCUUAUCAGCUUGUUGGUGGGGUAGUGGCUUACCAAGGCUUUGACGGGUAGCCGGCCUGAGCGGGUGACCGGCCACAUUGGGAAUGAGAUACGGCCACGACUCCUACGGGAGGCAGCAGUGGGGAAUAUUGCACAAUGGGCGGAAGCCUGAUGCAGCAACGCCGCGUGCGGGAUGACGGCCUUCGGGGUGUAAACCGCUUGCGCCUGUGACGAAGCGUGAGUGACGAUAAUGGGUAAAGAAGCACCGGCUAGCUACGUG
rnacentral:rRNA from 1 species